rnacentral:rRNA from 1 species
AGAGUUUGAUCCUGGCUCAGAACGUACGCUGGCGGCACGCCUAACACAUGCAAGUCGAACGAAGUAGCAAUACUUAGUGGCAGACGGGUGAGUAACAUGUAGGUAUCUGCCCUUUGGCCUGGAAUAACACGAGGAAACUUGUGCUAAUACCGGAUAAGUCUUUACGGAGAAAGCUUUAUGCACCAUUGGAUGAGCCUGCACUUGAUUAGUUUGUUGGUGGGGUAAUGGCCUACCAAGACUGUGAUCAAUAGCUGAUUUGAGAGGAUGAUCAGCCACAUUGGGACUGAGACACGGCCCAAACUCCUACGGGAGGCAGCAGUGGGGAAUCUUGCACAAUGGAGGAAACUCUGAUGCAGCGAUGCCGCGUGAGUGAAGAAGGCCUUUGGGUUGUAAAGCUCUUUCGUCGGGGAAGAAAAUGACUGUACCCGAAUAAGAAGGUCCGGCUAACUUCGUGCCAGCAGCCGCGGUAAUACGAAGGGACCUAGCGUAGUUCGGAUUUACUGGGCUUAAAGAGUUCGUAGGUUGUUGAAAAAGUUGGUGGUGAAAUCCCAGAGCUUAACUCUGGAACUGCCAUCAAAACUUUUCAGCUAGAGUAUGAUAGAGGAAAGCAGAAUUUCUAGUGUAGAGGUGAAAUUCGUAGAUAUUAGAAAGAAUACCAAUUGCGAAGGCAGCUUUCUGGAUCAUUACUGACACUGAGGAACGAAAGCAUGGGUAGCGAAGAGGAUUAGAUACCCUCGUAGUCCAUGCCG